rnacentral:rRNA from 1 species
UACGUAGGGUGCAAGCGUUGUCCGGAAUUAUUGGGCGUAAAGAGCGUGUAGGCGGCCCGAUUAGUCUGCUGUGAAAGUCCAGGGCUCAACCCUGGAAUGCCGGUGGAUACUGUCGGGCUAGAGUCCGGAAGGGGCGAGUGGAAUUCCUGGUGUAGCGGUGAAAUGCGCAGAUAUCAGGAGGAACACCAAUGGCGAAGGCAGCUCGCUGGGACGUGACUGACGCUGAUGUGCGAAAGCGUGGGGAGCAAACAGG